rnacentral:rRNA from 1 species
GACGAACGCUGGCGGCGUGCUUAACACAUGCAAGUCGAACGAAGUGGCGAACGGGUGAGUAACGCGUAAUCAACCUGCCCUUCAGAGGGGGACAACAGUUGGAAACGACUGCUAAUACCGCAUACUGAAGGAGGGGAUUGCGUCUGAUUAGCUAGUUGGGGGGGGAACGGCCCACCAAGGCGAUGAUCAGUAGCCGGUCUGAGAGGAUGAACGGCCAAAUUGGGAAUGUGGCACGGCCCAAGCUCCUACGGGGGGCAGCAGUGGGGAAUCUUCCGCAAUGGACGGAAGUCUGACGGAGCAACGCCGCGUGAGUGGUGACGGCCUUCUGGUUGUAAAGCUCUGUUAAUCGGGACGCGGUACCGGAAUAGAAAGCCACGGCUAACUACGUGCCAGCAGCCGCGGUAAUAC